GAUCAUGGCUCAGGAUGAACGCUGGCGGCGUGCUUAACACAUGCAAGUCGAGCGAUGAAGUUUCCUUCGGGAAACGGAUUAGCGGCGGACGGGUGAGUAACACGUGGGUAACCUGCCUCAUAGAGUGGAAUAGCCUUCCGAAAGGAAGAUUAAUACCGCAUAAUGUUGAAAGAUGGCAUCAUCAUUUAACCAAAGGAGCAAUCCGCUAUGAGAUGGACCCGCGGCGCAUUAG
rnacentral:rRNA from 1 species